rnacentral:lncRNA from 1 species
AAAACCAUUAUAAUCAUGAGAGGAUCACAUAAGUACAAUAACAUAUGUGAUCAUCAUAUAAUUUGUCAAUCACUUUCCGUUCAUCAAGAAUAUCAAUUCUCAUAAUGCAAAUAUCAUUUAAAUCUUUCGAAAGAAUAACUUUCACAAUUCCACUUUCAAAUCACUUCACUAUUCAUAAUAGACACAAGGAAACACACAC